rnacentral:rRNA from 1 species
GGGACAACAGUUCGAAAGGACUGCUAAUACCGAAUGUUGUAGAGUUUCCGCAUGGGGAUCCUACUAAAGGUGGCCUCUACUUGUAAGCUAUCGCUUUACGAUGGGUCUGCGUCUGAUUAGCUAGUUGGUGGGGUAACGUCCUACCAAGGCGACGAUCAGUAGCCGGUCUGAGAGGAUGAACGGCCACAUUGGAACUGAGACACGGUCCAGACUCCUACGGGAGGCAGCAGUGGGGAAUCUUCCGCAAUGGGCGCAAGCCUGACGGAGCAACGCCGCGUGAGUGAAGAAGGGUUUCGACUCGUAAAGCUCUGUUGUCGGGGACGAAUGUCAGGACUCAAAAUAUGGGUUCUGAAUGACGGUACCUGACGAGGAAGCCACGGCUAACUACGUGCCAGCAGCCGCGGUAAUACGUAGGUGGCGAGCGUUGUCCGGAAUUAUUGGGCGUAAAGGGAGCGCAGGCGGGAAGGUAAGUCUAUCUUAAAAGUGCGGGGCUCAACCCCGUGAGGGGAUGGAAACUAUCUUUCUUGAGUGCAGGAGAGGAAAGCGGAAUUCCUAGUGUAGCGGUGAAAUGCGUAGAUAUUAGGAGGAACACCAGUGGCGAAGGCGGCUUUCUGGACUGUAACUGACGCUGAGGCUCGAAAGCGUGGGGAGCGAACAGGAUUAGAUACCCUGGUAGUCCACGCCGUAA